UACGUAGGGACCGAGCGUUGUUCGGAGUUACUGGGCGUAAAGGGUGUGUAGGCGGUUUUUCUAAGUUUGGUGUGAAAAUCUCCCGGCUCAACCGGGAGGGUGCGCCGAAAACUGGGAGACUAGAGUGCGGGGAUGGGAGAGUAGAAUUCCUGGUGUAGCGGUGAAAUGCGUAGAUAUCAGGAGGAAUACCGGUGGUGUAGACGGCUCUCUGGACCGCCACUGACGCUGAGACACGAAAGCGUGGGUAGCAAACAGG
rnacentral:rRNA from 1 species